CCUACGGGAGGCAGCAGUGGGGAAUAUUGGACAAUGGGGGGAACCCUGAUCCAGCCAUGCCGCGUGUGUGAAGAAGGCCCUCGGGUUGUAAAGCACUUUCAGUGAGGAAGAACGCCUGGUGGUUAAUACCCAUCAGGCAAGACAUCACUCACAGAAGAAGCACCGGCUAACUCCGUGCCAGCAGCCGCGGUAAUACGGAGGGUGCGAGCGUUAAUCGGAAUUACUGGGCGUAAAGCGCGCGUAGGUGGCUUGAUAAGCCGGUGUGAAAGCCCCGGGCUCAACCUGGGAACGGCAUCCGGAACUGUCAAGCUAGAGUGCAGGAGAGGAAGGUAGAAUUCCCGGUGUAGAGGUGAAAUGCGUAGAGAUCGGGAGGAAUACCAGUGGCGAAGGCGGCCUUCUGGACUGACACUGACACUGAGGUGCGAAAGCGUGGGUAGCAAACAGGAUUAGAUACCCUAGUAGUC
rnacentral:rRNA from 1 species